CCAGAUUCCCAAAAAAGGCCCAAGUCCCACUAAAACUUCAUCAUCCCCAUCUUUCUUUUUUCUACCGGCCUUUUCACUGUCUUCACUUCACCGGCGACCAUUUUUAAAAGCUCAACUACUCAGUCGUUGCACCUGUAAACAGCAAGUGCAAUUUCCAAUUACUUAGUCAAUUUCCAAUUACUUAGUAAAGGAUCGCUCAAAAUACCAACUCAACACAUUUAUAACAAAUCCAUUAUGAGAGUGCAUAUUUGAGUACACAAAAGGCUGCGACAACAAACACAUAAGGAUUGGUAUCAGUGUAACAAGAUUCUCUUUCCGUGUCACUCCUACACCCAAUGUACUUUAUAACUCAUUUCACUUACUUGAGCAUCGGAGCGCCUACGAUCAUGACCUCCACGUCUUUUGUUUGGAAAGGCUUUGAUUUUGUGUCUUCAAUGUGUGCAACGAAGUCUGUUGGUGAUGCUGAG
rnacentral:lncRNA from 1 species